GCGAUCAUACCAACACUAAUGCACCAAAUCCCAUUAGAACUCUGCAGUUAAGCGUGCUUGAGCGAGAGCUGUACUUGGAUGGGUGACCCCCUGAAAAGUCCUCGUGUUGCACCCA